GGGGGACGGAUCGCGGAAGGUCGUCAGGCGGUUGGAAGAGCCUGUUCUUGACUUGUAGAAGGCACUUAGGCAAAUCCGGGUGCGUAAUUCAAGGGGUUGAGACGAGUGAAUUUAUUCACGAAGCGAUCGGAAGUGGUUCCAAGAAAAGCCUCUAAGCUUCAGUCAUACGAGACCGUACCGCAAACCGACACAGGUGGGCGAGAUGAGUAUUCUAAGGCGCUUGAGAGAACUCGGGAGAAGGAACUCGGCAAAUUGGUACCGUAACUUCGGGAUAAGGUACGCCCUGGUAGUUUGACCCCCCUGCGGGGGAAGGACGAACGGGUUGCAAUAAACUGGUGGCUGCAACUGUUUAAUAAAAACACAGCACUCUGCAAACACGAAAGUGGACGUAUAGGGUGUGACUCCUGCCCGGUGCUGGAAGAUUAAAUGAUGGGGUGCAAGCUCUUGAUUGAAGUCCCAGUAAACGGCGGCCGUAACUAUAACGGUCCUAAGGUAGCGAAAUUCCUUGUCGGGUAAGUUCCGACCUGCACGAAUGGAGUAAUGAUGGCCACACUGUCUCCUCCCGAGACUCAGCGAAGUUGAAAUGUUUGUGAUGAUGCAAUCUACCCGCGGCUAGACGGAAAGACCCCAUGAACCUUUACUGUAGCUUUGCAUUGGACUUUGAACCAAUCUGUGUAGGAUAGGUGGGAGGCUUUGAAGCGGGGACGCCAGUUCUCGUGGAGCCAACCUUGAAAUACCACCCUGGUUUGUUUGAGGUUCUAACCUUGGUCCGUAAUCCGGAUCGGGGACAGUGCAUGGUAGGCAGUUUGACUGGGGCGGUCUCCUCCCAAAGUGUAACGGAGGAGUUCGAAGGUACGCUAAUUACGGUCGGACAUCGUGAUGAUAGUGCAAUGGCAUAAGCGUGCUUAACUGCGAGACUGACAAGUCGAGCAGGUACGAAAGUAGGACAUAGUGAUCCGGUGGUUCUGUAUGGAAGGGCCAUCGCUCAACGGAUAAAAGGUACUCUGGGGAUAACAGGCUGAUUCCUCCCAAGAGUUCAUAUCGACGGGGGAGUUUGGCACCUCGAUGUCGGCUCAUCACAUCCUGGGGCUGUAGCCGGUCCCAAGGGUAUGGCUGUUCGCCAUUUAAAGUGGUACGUGAGCUGGGUUUAAAACGUCGUGAGACAGUUUGGUCCCUAUCUGCCGUGGGCGUUGGAAGUUUGAAGGGGGCUGCUCCUAGUACGAGAGGACCGGAGUGGACGAACCUCUGGUGUAUCGGUUGUCACGCCAGUGGCAUUGCCGAGUAGCUAUGUUCGGAAGAGAUAACCGCUGAAAGCAUCUAAGCGGGAAACUCGCCUUAAGAUGAGACUUCCCAGAGACUUGAUCUCUUUAAAGGGUCGUUCGAGACCAGGACGUUGAUAGGCUGGGUGUGGAAGUGCAGUAAUGCAUUAAGCUAACCAGUACUAAUUGCCCGUAAGGCUUGUCC
rnacentral:rRNA from 1 species